rnacentral:lncRNA from 1 species
GUGACUAAAUUUCUACUGAUUGUGAUAUUUAAAGUCAUAAUUUUCCAUUGAUCGAAUUCCCCGGUAACCGGUAUAUAAACUCGUGACUUAAAAAUUAAUUAUCCAUAUAACAUAUAUCAGCAGUAGUGAAUAUUCAUAUCAUUAAAAAUAACUUCCUAUCGUCUGUUUACAAAUGUUUUGUGUUGACCUGUGACGUCAGCAGUCAAUAAAACUGUGCGCAUUGAUCCGUAUUUACACCUGAGGCAAUAGAUCGUUUUGCGUUGUUGUUGUAAACAUUCACUACGCAAUGGAGAAGCAGACGGCAUGUGAGCUUAUUUACCGCGCUGAUUUUAUCAGAAAGCGAAGAGUUAGAAAGGUAAGAAAUAACUUUUUAAUAAUUUAAAUUCUUUUUUCCAUCAGAUUGAAUCUUUAUUUUGGAAUGACAUGCUUUUUAUCGACUUUUUUUUACGCUUGUCGGCAUAUUGCGCAACGGGUUACACAAUUAGUACUGUUUCUUUAGUUUGCAUGGGGAAACAAGAUGCAGGAAGGACAUGAUAUUUAAAUUCUAAAAUUAGAUUUAUUUUAAUAUAGAUGUAAUGGUAUUACUCGUGAUAGUGCGCAAACCGGUUACAAAAUUGGUGGGGGUGGGGGGUAGGGGGUAGGGGGUAGGGGGUAAUCUGCUCUCUUAUUCUUUGCUACUAAUAUAUAAAAUGCACUUUGCCACCAAUAUGUCAUUCUGUUGGAUUUUGAUUUUUAUCAAUAUUUAUUAAGUUUAUCAUAGUCUAUACCUUAUACGUAUUACAAAACAAGUAAAAACAAAUAGAGAACGAUUUUCAAAGCAAAAUGUAUGUUUCAUAUGAAAAAAGGAUAUUGAGAAGAAUUCCAAAUGCAGCCUUAUUGCACUUCCUGCAGAUACAAAGCAUCCUUUUGUCACACCAAUAAAUUUACUGAUUGAAUUAAGUAAACUCUGCAUCCUCCCUCCCCCUAUUGUGAAGAAUUUCAAAUGCAGCCUUAUUGCACUUCCUGCAGAUGCAAAGCCUCCAUUUGUCACACCAAUAGAUUCAGAUUAAAUAUAAUAUUAAGUCCUCCCCCUACCCCUUUUCCUUUUACUCCCUCUUCUCUCUAACUUUUGGUAUUCUAUAUUCAGCACGAUUUACAAUUUGUAUAUCAUUCUCAUCCAAUGUUGGUUUUUUUUUCAGGGUCGAGUUGAGUACUUGGUAAAAUGGAAAGGCUAUCAAAACAGGUAUGUAUAGGGUCUGAAACAAGGAAGUUUAUAAGCACGAUACAUGUGUCCAUAUCCUGUUAAUUUACACAUUUG